rnacentral:rRNA from 1 species
GAUGAACGCUAGCGGCAGGCCUAAUACAUGCAAGUCGAACGGUGUAGCAAUACACAGUGGCGCACGGGUGCGUAACACGUAUGCAACCUACCUAUUAUUGGGGGAUAGCCUUUGGAAACGGAGAUUAAUUCCGCAUAAGACAGUGACAUGGCAUCAUGUAGCUGUUAAAGCUUUGGCGAUAAUAGAUGGGCAUGCGUCCAAUUAGUUAGUUGGUGAGGUAAUGGCUCACCAAGACGAUGAUUGGUAGGGGAUCUGAGAGGAUAACCCCCCACACUGGCACUGAGAUACGGGCCAGACUCCUACGGGAGGCAGCAGUAGGGAAUAUUGGGCAAUGGACGGAAGUCUGACCCAGCCAUGCCGCGUGCAGGAUGACGGCGUUAUGCGUUGUAAACUGCUUUUAUAUAGGAAGAAACAGACCUUGCGAGGUAAAUUGACGGUACUAUAUGAAUAAGCACCGGCUAACUCCGUGCCAGCAGCCGCCGUAACAC